UCAAGUAGAGAAGGGCGCACGGUGAAUGCCUAGGCACUGGAAGCCGAUGAAGGACGUGACAAACGACGAAAUGCUUCGGGGAGCGGUAAGUACGCAGAGAUCCGGAGAUAUCCGAAUGGGGGAACCCGGCACCGCGAGGUGUCACCUUGAAUGUGAAUAGAUAGCAUUAAGGAGGAAGACGCAGUGAACUGAAACAUCUAAGUAGCUGCAGGAAGAGAAAGAAAGAUCGAUUUCCCAAGUAGCGGCGAGCGAACAGGAAAGAGCCCAAACCUAAUGGCUUGCCAUUAGGGGUAGAAGGACUGUAAAAAGCCGAAUGGAAGGAUAGCAGAAUUAUCUGGGAAGAUAAGCCAAAGAGGGUGAGAGCCCCGUAAGCGAAAUCCGGAAAGUAGGUGAGCAGGAUCCUGAGUAGGUCGGGACACGAGGAAUCCCGAUUGAAUCCGCGAGGACCAUCUCGCAAGGCUAAAUACUAACCAGUGACCGAUAGUGAACCAGUACCGUGAGGGAAAGGUGAAAAGAACCCCGGGAGGGGAGUGAAAGAGAACCUGAAACCGUGUGCCUACAAGUAGUCAGAGCACGUUAAAGUGUGAUGGCGUGCCUUUUGUAGAAUGAACCGGCGAGUUGCGUUGUGGUGCAAGGUUAAGUCAGAAAAGACGGAGCCGAAGCGAAAGCGAGUCUGAAGAGGGCGAGAUAGUAUCAUGACGCAGACCCGAAACCAAGUGACCUACCCAUGACCAGGUUGAAGGCGUGGUAAAACACGCUGGAGGACCGAACCCACGCAAGUUGAAAAUUGCGGGGAUGAGUUGUGGGUAGCGGUGAAAUUCCAAACGAACUUGGAGAUAGCUGGUUCUCUCCGAAAUAGCUUUAGGGCUAGCCUCGUGUGAAUGAUAAUGGAGGUAGAGCACUGUUUGGACUAGGGGCCCGUCAGGGGUUACUGAAUCCAGAUAAACUCCGAAUGCCAGAUAUCAAUGCACGGGAGUCAGACUGCGAGUGAUAAGAUCCGUAGUCGAAAGGGAAACAGCCCAGAUCACCGGUUAAGGUCCCAAAAUCUAUGCUAAGUGGAAAAGGAUGUGGAGUUGCACAGACAACUAGGAUGUUGGCUCAGAAGCAGCCACCAUUUAAAGAGUGCGUAAUAGCUCACUAGUCGAGUGACGCUGCGCCGAAAAUUUACCGGGGCUAAGCAUAGUACCGAAACCGUGGAUGCAGUUAACUGCGUGGUAGGAGAGCGUUCUAAAGGCGGAGAAGGCAGAUCGAGAGGACUGUUGGAGCGUUUAGAAGUGAGAAUGCCGGUAUAAGUAGCGAAAGACAGGUGAGAAUCCUGUCCGCCGAAAGACUAAGGUUUCCUGGGGCAGGCUCGUCCGCCCAGGGUAAGUCGGGACCUAAGGUAAGGCCGAGAGGCGUAGCCGAUGGACAACAGGUAGAUAUUCCUGUACUAUUCGUAAUCGAUAAGAGCGAAGGAGGGACGCAGGAGGCUAAUGACGCAUGGAGAUGGAAUCAUGUGUAAGCGUUAAGGGAGGAUACGAGUCAAAUGCUUGUAGCCAAUUUUGAGACGUGAUGCGGAGUGAAAUCAAAGUAGCGAAGGUCAUGAAGUCACACUGCCAAGAAAAGCUUCUAGCCAGAGAGCGAGUACCCGUACCGCAAACCGACACAGGUAGUCGAGGAGAGAAUCCUCAGGUGAGCGAGAGAACUCUCGUUAAGGAACUCGGCAAAAUAACCCCGUAACUUAGGGAGAAGGGGUGCUGAAGAGAAAUCAGCCGCAGUGAAGAGGCCCAAACAACUGUUUAUCAAAAACACAGGUAUCUGCAAAAUCGUAAGAUGACGUAUAGGUACUGACACCUGCCCGGUGCUGGAAGGUUAAGAGGAUAGCUUAGCGAAAGCGAAGGUUAGAAUUGAAGCCCCAGUAAACGGCGGCCGUAACUAUAACGGUCCUAAGGUAGCGAAAUUCCUUGUCGGGUAAGUUCCGACCUGCACGAAAGGUGUAAUGA
rnacentral:rRNA from 1 species